CAAAUCUGGCUGUCGUGAUGCCUAAAAAGCAUUACAUAGCAAGGGCCGGGCAAGACCGGUGCCAGCCGCCGCGGUAACACCGGCGGCUCGAGUGGUAACCGUUAUUAUUGGGUCUAAAGGGUCUGUAGCCGGCCGGAUAAGUCUCUUGGGAAAUCCAGCAGCCUAACCGUUGGGCUUUCAGGAGAUACUAUUCGGCUCGAGGCCGGGAGAGGUGAGAGGUACUUCAGGGGUAGGGGUGAAAUCUUGUAAUCCUUGAAGGACCACCAGUGGCGAAGGCGUCUCACCAGAACGGACCUGACGGCAAGGGACGAAGGCUAGGGGCACGAACCGGAUUAGAUACCCGGGUAGUCCUAGCCGUAAACGAUACUCGCUAGGUGUCGGCCACGGUGCGACCGUUGUCGGUGCCGUAGGGAAGCCGUGAAGCGAGCCACCUGGGAAGUACGGCCGCAAGGCUGAAACUUAAAGGAAUUGGCGGGGGAGCACCACAACGGGUGGAGCUUGCGGUUUAAUUGGAGUCAACGCCGGAA
rnacentral:rRNA from 1 species